UUCGAUCCUGGCUCAGAUUGAACGCUGGCGGAUGUUUACAUGCAAGUCGAACGGCAGCACGGACUUCGGUCCUGGUGGCAGUGGCGAACGGGUGAGUAAUGUAUCGGAACGUGCCUAGUAGCGGGGGAUAACUACGCGAAAGCGUAAGCUAAUACCGCAUACGCCCUUCGGGGAAAGCGGGGACCUUCGGGCCUCGCGCUAUUAGAGCGGCCGAUAUCGGAUUAGCUAGUUGGUGGAGUAACGGCUCCGCCAGGCGACGAUCCGUAACUGGUUUGAGAGGACGACCCAUCACACUGGGACUGAGACACGGCCCAGACUCCUGGAGGCAGCAGUGGGGGAAUUUUUUGGACAAUGGGAAACCUGAUCCAGCCAUCCGCCGACGCUGAUGAAGGCCUUCGGGUUAUGUAAGCACUUUGGCAGGAAAAACAGCACGGGAUAAUACCCCCGUGCAACUGACCAGUACCUGCAGAAUAAGCACCGGCUAACUACGUGCCAGCAGCCGCGGUAAUACAUGCAGUGCAAGCGUUAAUCGGAAUUACUGGGCGUAAAGCGUGCGCAGGCGGUUCGGAAGAAAGAUGUGAAAAUCCCAGGCUGCUGGAACUGCAUUUUAACUACCGAGCUGAUAUGUGUCUGGAGGAGGUGGAGUCCGCGUGUAGCAAUGAAGUAUGCGUAGAUAUGCGGAGGAACAUGAUGGCGAAGGCAGCCUCCUGGGAUAACACUGACGCCACUGUGCACGAUAAAACUGGGAGCAAACCUGGGGAUUAGAUACCUGGUAGUCCGCGCCUAAACGAUGUCAACUAGCUGUUGGGGCCGGACGCCCGGUAGCGCAGCUAACGCGACUGCUGUUGACCGCCUGGGAAGUACGGUCGCAAGAUUAAAACUCAAAGGAAUUGAGCGGACCCGCACAAGCGGUGCUGGAUGAUGUGGAUUAAUUCGAUGCAACGCGAAAAACCUUACCCCGCCAACAUCUCUCUGGAAUCCCCGAAGAAGUUUGGGAGUGCUCGCAAGAACCCGCCGAACAGGUGCUGCAUGGCUGUCGUCAGCUCAUGUCGUGAGAUGUUGGAUUCAGUCCGCAACGAGCGCAACCCUUGUCAUUAGUUGCUACGAAAGGGCACUCUAAUGAGACUGCCGGUGACAAACCGGAGGAAGGUGAGACCGACAUCAAAGUCCUCAUGUGCCCUUAUGGGUAGGGCUUCACACGUCAUACAAUGGUCGGGACAGAGGUUGCCAACCGCGAGGCGUCCCGAACUGACGUAGUCAGUCGCAGUCACAGCUCGGCUGCGUGAAGUCGGAUCUAUUGACCGUCGCAGUCAGCAUGCGUUGAUACGAUUUGGAUCUUAACACACCACCGUCCUUUCGCGGGUGUUUUACCCAGAAAUCGUUAGCCUAACCGUGAAGGGUACCGAUGAGAUUCAUGACUGGACAGAUGGCGAAAGUAUCUGUACUUCCUGAUGCUUAGA
rnacentral:rRNA from 1 species